AUUCUUUUGCAGCUUUCUCUUGUUAAUUUGCACCCUUUAAGCUGAGCAUCAGGAAGAAGGAAAAACCUGACAAGCUCAAGGAUCAGAGGGACACCAACCCUGCUCAAGUCACUCUGGAAGCUGACUAGCCUGCAUGUGCCCAAAGCUAGAGGAAACAUCAGCCCUGCUUCAGCCACUGUGGGCUGGAUGAUCCACACAAGGUGUAAGAUAAACUCGCCAACAGGAAAAUGGACUGUUUCUCCCUCUAAGACAGCUCUUAUACUGUCAUUGCCACCACUUACUUCUUUCAUAUACAGAGUCCUUUCUUUUGUCUUGACUCUAGGACUGAUAACAAUCAAACACAUAGUUAACAAUAUCAGAAAACUACCACAUGUACCAGUUCAAACCUGAAUGGGUAUUACACUUGGGAUCCAAGCUCACUGUUUGGUGGAUGGUUUCCUAUUCUUGAUGGAUUCAAAUCCUAAUUGACAUAGCAGGGAUUAUGCUAUGAACUUGUUCAUUGCUUCCAUGUUUGUUUCCUCUUUACAUUACAACUAGUGGGUCUACUAUAGAAGCAGCUGUUAAAAAAAAAAAAAAAAAACUAUGAUGUGACAUUAUAUAAAGCUUAAAGCCAAGAAGAGAAUAAUGCUUUUUGACUUAGAGGAUUAAAUAGUGAGCAUCAAAGGGGGUAAUGAUGUAGCCCACAGAAGACCCCCCAUCUUCAUUGUAAGAUAUUAGCCUCUCUCCUAGUCAAGAAGAUAUUGUUUAAGAAGUGAGCAGGAUUUCUAGAGAACUUAUUGUGCUUUGAGCUCCUCUUUGUUGUGAAGGCCAGGUUUCUUGUAAAGGCCUGCAGGGCUGGGGUUGUGGUCAGUGACAGAGCACUUGCCUAGCAAAUGUGAGACCUGGGGUUUGAUUCUCGGCACCACAUAAAAAUAGAAAAAAAAUACAUGUAUUAGUCUCAUCUACAAUUUAAAAAAAAAGGUCUCCAAUCAUGUAUGUUGAUGUGCAAAAGAUCUGUUUCCAUAGUAAAAAAAAUUGUGAAACCUCUGUCCAACCUAAGAACGUGGAACAAAAUGUAACUGUUAUGUUAACCAUUGUGUUGUACAACCACCCACUGAAGUCUCUGAGAAUUUCCAGACCUGAGGUCCAGAGAUUGUUUGGCAUUAGCCCUUCUGGAUUGCUGCAGCUUAAAUAAAUCUGCUUCCUCAAAUUCCUCAGAUGUCCAGCCUCAUCUAUCCUACAUCAAUGCCUGCUUGAAAUGCUAGAAUGUCCCCAUUCUUGAAGAGAACACAGAGACAGUCUCUCAGACUGCGUCACAGUAUGAAUUCUAUGAAAAG
rnacentral:lncRNA from 1 species